ACGGGAGGCAGCAGUGGGGAAUAUUGGUCAAUGGGCGCAAGCCUGAUCCAGCGACGCCGCGUGAGUGAAGAAGUAUUUCUGUAUGUAAAGCUCUAUCAGCAGGGAAGAUAAUGACGGUACCUGACUAAGAAUCCCCGGCUAACUACGUGCCAGCAGCCGCGGUAAUACGUAGGUGGCAAGCGUUAUCCGGAUUUACUGGGUGUAAAGGGCGCGUAGGCGGGGAUGCAAGUCAGAUGUGAAAUCCAUGGGCUCAACCCAUGAACUGCAUUUGAAACUGUAGCGCUUGAGUGCUGGAGAGGUAGAUGGAAUUCCUAGUGUAGCGGUGAAAUGCGUAGAUAUUAGGAAGAACACCAGUGGCGAAGGCGAUCUACUGGACAGUAACUGACGCUGAGGCGCGAAAGCGUGGGGAGCAAACAGGAUUAGAUACCCUGGUA
rnacentral:rRNA from 1 species